rnacentral:rRNA from 1 species
GACCAGACUCCUACGGGAGGCAGCAGUGGGGAAUAUUGCACAAUGGGGGGAACCCUGAUGCAGCGACGCCGCGUGGGCGAGGAAGUCUUUCGGUAUGUAAAGCCCUAUCGGCAGGGAAGGAGAAAUGACGGUACCUGAAUAAGAAGCACCGGCUAACUCCGUGCCAGCAGCCGCGGUAAUACGGAGGGUGCGAGCGUUAAUCGGAAUUACUGGGCGUAAAGCGCUCGUAGGCGGUAUGUCAAGUCAAGGGUGAAAUCCCCGCGCUCAACGUGGGAACUGCCUUUGAAACUGGCAAACUGGAGUGUGUGAGAGGAUAGUGGAAUUCCAGGUGUAGGAGUGAAAUCCGUAGAUAUCUGGAGGAACAUCAGUGGCGAAGGCGACUAUCUGGCACAUAACUGACGCUGAGGAGCGAAAGCGUGGGUAGCAAACAGGAUUAGAUACCCCUGUA